ACUCUUCACCACAGCAUAUCCUACUUCUUCAACUAAGAUGUAUUGUCUUUCACUAUGUGUAACUUGGAAUUCAUCAUGUAUCUUCUAUGGGUUAUCAAUCAAGUACCAUGGACUGAAGUUGCUGCUGUAUUUAUCAACUCUCAAAAGUGUGCUCUCUGGUGGAUGGGAUGCAGCUCUUAUUUUUUUGCUAGUUAGAGGGUCUCGAGUUCCUGGAUGAAACUUCAGAUCUGAGUAAGCUAUUCCUCCCAUCCUUUAUCUUUCUUUUCAAUUUUCAUGCUUCUUUACCCGAAUUAUACUAAUCUUCAUUGUAGUUGCUGCUGGGAUAGAGAUAAUGGUAUGCUUGGACCCGCAUGUAAUUUGUAGUAUUCUAUCUAGGUGUUUCAGCUGCAAUCUUACCUGACCCUCCCCUUUUGCUGCGAGUCCUUUUUGAAGGCUUACAUAGAUUAGGCUAGAAAACAUCUUUCCUCUUUUUGUUAGUUUCCUUAUUUUAAAUAUAUGGUUGUGUAUCUCUGAACACUGUAGCCUAUUUAUUCUCUUGUUACUCGCAUCCUUAUGUAAGGACAUUAUAAUUUGUCACUAUUUAAUAUUUUCCUACCCAUUACCUCUAAUUGUUGAAAAUUUGAAAUGGCAAAUCCACUCUGUCUAUGGCUAAGUUAGUUAGAUGAUCAACCAACUGAUUGCCUUCUUCAGAAUGUGUUGAUACUGUACUUGCUUACUAUUCACGAGUUUUCAUAUUUUCUCAACAUAGUCUAUUACAUACCAAGGACAAGUCCAUUCUUUUAUUAGAAUUUUUUGCAUCAGUAAUGAUUUAGUUUGAAUGAUCACUUUCCCUUUAUGUGUUUGAUCUGCAUGAAUAGCUGCUUGUAGAUUAGCAUUAUCCUCAGCUUCAACAUUUGUUGUAUCUCCCAUCUUAGCUCCUUCUGCAUAAACUAAGUCUCGUUUCUCAUCCCUUACAUAAAAGGCAUAUGAACUGAACCCUAGGCUGCUUUUGGAUGCCUCAUUUAUAUUGUAUAUAACCCAACCCUUCUCUGGAAACUUUCACAACACUUUAUUAAUCUUCAUUUUUGUUUUUUCUCCCUUCUAGCUCCUUUAGCAUAUCUAGCUAUCUACUGGGAAAGACUUGUCUUGGAUUUCUUACCUUAAGUAAAAAUCCCACAUUUCUUGUAAUAUUAAAUAUUACUUUGUGGAAAGAUAAGUUUUUACCAUCACGCUUUAAGCUAUUCCUUUUUUUUGAAUUUCCCUGCUGAUCAUGCUUGGUAAAGACUGAAAAUAAGGCUUGAUUCUCCCUUUGACUUCCUCAUUCCACCAUGUAAGAAUAGUUUCUUUGAGUUUUAAUCCCUCUAAUAGAAUACCUGUACAUGAAGCAAAAUAGGACCAAGUCCUGUUAGCUAAAGGUGAUCUGAGAAACACAUGAGCAAUAGUUUCUUGAUCAAGAUAAAUACAACACCAAUAUUUAGUUGGUCCUUCAAUUCCCCGUCUUCUCAUAAUAGAAUCUACUAGCACCUUUCCCUUUCAUAUUCUCCACAUUAGAAAUACCAUUUUGAAAGGUAAUCCCUUAACCCAUAUAGUUUUAUACAUUAAGUUCUUUUCUUGCCUCUGUCGAAUAUACUCCCAUGCUGACUUAACUAUGAAUUUUCCAGUAGUUUCCAACAUCCAAAUAGGAAUAUAUCUUACUCCUUCAACAAUUGUAGGCCUCAUAUUAGUUAGGAUAUAAUUGACAACUUCCUGAUGUAGUAUCUUCAUUAGUACCUGCUCAUUCCAUUGGUCUUCUCUGAUUAAAUCCUUGACCACUUGUAGUCUACCAUCCAAAUACCUAUUGUUCUGCAUAUAUAUAUAUAUAUAAGUCACCAUUAUCAGUCCAGUUAUCAAACCAUAUACUAGAUUGUCCACGUCUGAUCUUCCAUAGAAUUUGGUGCUCCACUAAAUCCCUAGCCUGCAGAAUUUUCUUCCAUACCGAAGAUCCAAAACCUGUUUUCCACACUAUUUCAUUAGGAUGCUAUUUUAUGCAGUAUUUUUUAUGCAUAAACCUACUCCAAAUAGAGUCUUUAGUUUGAAAUUUCCACUACAGCUUGUAAAACAAAGCCAUAGAUACAUCUUGUACCCUUCUAAACCCCAAACCUCCUUCUGUUUCUGGAAAGCAUAAAGAAAUGCCCCUUACCCAAUGUCUACUUCUUCCACUAAUAUGAUUUCUCCAGAAAAAUUGAGCAAACAUCCUCUGAAUUAAGCUCAAAACAUUAUCAGAAGAAUUCAUUACUGAGAGACAGUGAAUGGAGAUAGAUUGUAGGACAUGCUUAAUGAAAGCUGCUCUUCCCCCAUAUGACAAUAAUUUUCCUUUCCAUCCUUGUAGUUUAUUGCUAACCUUAUGCAUAAUAGGUUCAUAGAAAUCUUUCUUCUUCCUUAUAUGAAAUAUAGGAUACUCUAGAUAAGUAAAGGGAAAUUUCUUUUUAUUUAUCCCUGUAACAACCUCCGCCCUUUCCACACUCCCCUGUGACACUCCUUUAUGCAAAUAAGUUGUACUCUUCUCUUUAUUGAUCUUAAUACUUAUCUAAAGUAUCAAUUACUUUCUUCAGAGUAUUCAGGUCAACUUUGCAAAGAAUGAUUAUAUCAUCAACAAAGGAAAAGUAAUUCACCUUUGGACUUCCAUUUGGCAUCCCAAAAGAUUUAAAACUCUUAGUACACAUUAGGGAUUUUAAAGCUCUAGAAACCACCUCAGCUGCUAAUAUAAAGAGUGUAAGUGAUAAAGGAUCACCUUGAUUUAAGCCUCUAGUUAACCUAAAAAACCCUUUAGGUUGUCCAUUCAGUAGUAUUGAGUUCCAAUUAUUUUCUACUAAUCUGUACACCAUAUCAAUUAUUAAUUCUUAAACCCAACUUUCCUCAAUACUUUAGAAAGAAACAACCAAUCCACUGUAUCAUAAUCUUUUAUCAUGUCCAUCUUAAUUACCAUGUUAGGAAUUUUACCUCUUUUCCUAAUAUCAGUUAUGAUCUCUUGUACCACCAGAAUAUUUUCUGCAAUAUUCCUCCCUUGAAUAAAUCCUGAUUGUUCUUUAGAAAUAAUUUCAGGCAACACCUUCUUGAUCCUUUCAUGACUUAUUCUGGAAAAAAUCUCAUUCACAAAAUUACUCAAUGAAAUGGGUCUCAUGUCAUAGAAAUUACUUAUUACUAACUUUUUGGGCAGAAGUACCAAGUUUGUAUGAGUCACAAAUUUUGUAGUUCAUUCCUACAAAAGAAAGCAACCACCAUUUUAUGCACAUCUUCCUUAAUAAUAUCUCAAAUAUCCUGAAAGAAUGCUCCAGUCAUACCAUCUGGGUCUGUUGUACUAUUUCUAUUCAGCCCCAAUACAAUCUCUUUCACUUUGUGCAUCUCUGGUACUUUGUUAAGGUCUUCAUUUCGAUUGUCAUUAAGUAUUAUUGGUAAUUCCUCCAAUAUUUCAAAAUAAGUAGUCUCUUUCUCUUUAGAGAAUUGCUUUUGGAAGAACUGAGUAGCAGCUUCUGCAAUCUGAUUUAGAUCUUCCAGCCAUUCCCCCUCAUCAUUCUGUAUUCUUUUCAGCUUGAGCCUGUUUCUUAUGCCUUUUACCACUGUGUGAAAGAAUUUGUUGUUUAUUUCACCAUCCUUAAACCACGCUAAUCCAACUUUCUAAUUCUAAAAUUCUUCUUCCCUACCAAGCUGUAAAUUGAGCUGAGUCUGAGCUUUGAAAAUAAAUCUCUAUUUGGACCUGAAGGAUUCUCCUCAAAUUGCUUCUCCAUAACUUUAAUCACUUUCUUCGGAGUAGCAAUCUCUUGAAAGAAUUACUAAAGCACUCCUUCAUCCAUUUAGUUAAAGCAAACUUUACCCUUUCAUCUUAUGGUAAAACAUAAUAAAAGGAUUACCCAUCACAUCAGUCUUCCAGUUUUCUUGUAUUAUCUUCAGACAAGAAUUCUCCUUUAGCCACAUGUUUAAGAGCCUGAAAGAUUUGGAGAUGUUAUCCUUCAUAGUACUGAAGUUGAUUUUUAAAGGAGUGUGAUCAAAACACUUCUAAAUAGAUGUUCAACUUCCAGUACUGGAAAUAAAUCAUGUAAAUUCUCAUUAACCAAAACUCUUUCCAUCCUUUUAAAAAUACAAUUUUCAUCUGUUCUUCCAUUCCACCAAAUGUACUUGCUCUCCUUGAACCCCGGUUCGUCUAUAUUACACAUGUUUAAUGCUUGAAAUCUGCAGUUUCUACUAUAGUCACUGGUAAUUCUCCCAAUUUCUCUUCGUAACUAGUUAUGACAUUGAAGUCCCCACCUACCAACCAGGGAUCUUGAAUUCCUUGAGCCAGUUCUUCAAGUGAUUCCCAUAAUAACAAUCUCUCACCUUGGAUACAUUUAGCAUAAAUAAGUGAUACUAUAACUAUCACCCCUACUUAUUGAUUCUCUAAUUUAACUAUGAGUUGCUAUUCUUCAUCUCUUAAAACUUUACAGACAAUAUCAGCUCUAAGAAUGCCCAUAUUUUUCCUAAAGUAUUAGAAAUUGAGUGCUAUAUUCCUAACAUUCUCCUAUACUCUUCAAUAUCUUUGCUAUCUUAGAAAGGUUCCAUUAGCCCUAUAAAUGCAAACUAAUAUCUUUUAUGUAAUGUGAUCAGUCUUGUAAAGGCCUUCUGAGUGUUGACUGAUCUAAUGUUCCAUAUAAGAGCAUUCAUUUUGACUAAUUGUUUUGUGAACUCCUUGUCUGCAUUGAACUUUCUUUAACUCCUUUGUGUUUUUCCUUUUACAUACCCCGAUUUGUUUUCAACUUAUCUAUCUGCUUAGGAGAUAGAUUCCCUUCAAGCCCCACUUUGUCAAUCGUAUCCUUCAAAUCAUCUUCAUCCAACACUACAUUAUCUUUGUUACUGGAGGUAAUCUGUUUUUCAACUUGAAUUGCUAAAGGAAAAAUGUCCUCCAUCACAUCCAUACAUCUUUGAUACCCUCAAGUUUCAAAAUGGCUCACUGCAUAUCCCCCUUAUUAUUUCCUUUUAGACUUUGUUAUCUUGUUGUAUUAUCAUUGAACUCCACCUCCUCCUCAUCAAGUUCAUCCUGUUUGCUCACUUUGUCCAUAGAUUUCUUUGUUGUUUUGUCUUUCUCUGAUUUGCCAAAAUUCUUAGUAGCCCAAUAUUUUGUACUUUCUUUAUUCAUCUGUUGCUUUACCCAUUGUCACUUUUUUUAGCUAAUGUUUCCUUUUGAAUUUUUCUAGUAUAAUUUCGGGAUAUGAAUAAUUAGAGUUUUAAUAAUUAUUCAUGGAUCUUGGGAUUAUGCAUUACUAACGGAGUGACAUGCGUAUGUUAAUAGCUAACUUUAUUAUUAGUAGAUUAAGUACGGGUAGGUUUGGUUAUAGGUUUUGAUGUUAGUCUUUCAACAAAACACUAAACUUUCACCUGUUGAUUCUUUUGAAUACCUAAUGGGUGUGUUUAACAAUUGGUAACCACAACCUCAAUCUGGCCAUCCUUAUUUCUAGGAUAAUACCCAUGGUAUAGUCAACUUCAUAACCACCCUUAUGUCUAACAUAGUAAUAGAUUAGAUGACUACACAUAAUUGUCUACCAUUUCUUUGGUCUCCACAUUCCUCUUUCAAGGAUGAUAUGGAUUCCCAAAAUUCACCCAAAACCCUUCUUUCCAAGAUGGCCUUAAGUUUUCUAGAGUUUGGAGAUUUCACCCAUCAAACCCAUGUGGGUAUUUGAGGCUUUCACCCACAAAUUCCAACCAAGUUAGCAUAGCAAUGGUAAAACCUAUCAAAAUGUACUAUCAAAUAGAAUCUAACAAUAACAAACCAUACACACUAUUAGCCCCUAUUCACACAUAACCCCAAGAGGGGGAUCUAGCUACACAUAAUAUAAAUAAGCAUAGAUAUAUCCAAAAUCUCCAUUGAAAUGACUUUAUGAAGAUUAAGUGAAUGUUACUUCAAACUUGUCUCUCCACAAAUCAACAAUGGAAGUGACCUAAUCCUUCACUUAGAAAGUCUCCAAUGUAUUCUUCACCUUAAAUUUAUAUAAUAAUUUCUUCUCCAAGUAUGAAGGCUCUGCACUCAAGAGCUAAACCUAAAAUUGGGGAAGAUGGAAUAUCUUAUGAUGCUAGGGUUUGAGUUUUUUUGUCAAAAUUGGGGUCAGCCACGUGCAUUUCCAGUUUUUCUCUUGGGUUGCUAUCUUACGCUAAGCCGUGAUCGCGUGGGUAUAGCCGCUAUCACGUCUAUGCAACCGUGGUUAUCUUUCAUGACCGCGGUUGUUAGACUUCUGCUCGGCUGCUGCAAUCGUGGUCGCUAGACCAUUAUCGCCGUAACUGAGGCCCUUCUGUUCCAGGUCUUUAGCAACACUUUCUUGUUCCCUUUUUGAUCGUUUUAAGCUCUAAUCCACAUCCUUAUAUCUCCUCAACUCUAUUCCUGCAAAGUAUGGAUAGUAAUGUAUUUAAUCACACUUAUGUCUCAUUUAUUCAUUCAAAAUAAGGUAAUGUGCACGAAUGAUGAGUGCCAAUGAGUGGUAAAUCACUAUUCAUCAAUAUUGUUGUGAGCAUCCGAGAGGAUAAAAAUCUUAAGUCAAAAUCACAGGUGUGGACGACUCUAAAAAGGGACGCAGCACAAUGUGGAACUUUUUCUUAGCAGCAAAUGGACAUAGUCUAGAGAGGAACGUUAAACUCUUUGGAUGCGAGCUAAUGGAUAAUCGCCACUACCAUCAAAUCAUACUCCUGAUAGAAGGCAUGUGGGUACUUUGAGAUAUUUUAGUUUUAUCUUCAGUCUCGGGAUAUUUCUAAACUCAUACCAAGGGUAACCCUUCUUUCCUUCAAAUUCAAGUGACAAUAUAGUAAGAGUUUUGGAAAUUAUGUCUAUAUAAGCUCUUACCUAUGGAUGUGAAGGAUCCCACAUUAAUGGUUAAGAGGUUACAAGCCUAUUUUUCGCAACUCAAUUAACUUGUCACUCAUCUCGAGCCAAAGAUUGUCUAAAAUAAAGGACUAUCUUUUCUACCGAUUGAGUCAAACUGUAGCAGUUUGAUUUCCUAAGUCGCAGCGAUAUAUAUGUUGGGCUCUAUGUUGAAAGCUCUACUACAUUCCAACCUCCCCCCAGUCCUCUUAUUUCCCCGCUUUCCAAUUUCACCAAAAUUUAGAAACUAGGAUAGCUUGUGAAUUUCUUGAAAAUCGUGCUUUAAAAUCAAGCUUUAUGAACUACAAGUGGCCUCAUUUCUCAUAUAACCUGAGAUAUAUAGGAAAACUGAUACCGAGGUUCAGCCAUAACUCCACAAAACUUGUGUGAAAACCAACCUCUUUCAGAAACGAAUUUGUGAUCGGACGAAAAUUAGGAACAUCAAACUCCCUUUGCCUAGGGCUACUUGCAUCCACCCAACCCAAAGGGAGGGGACAGUUGUUGACACCUAAUUUUUACCCUCCACGACUAACUUUAAUCCUGAGUUUCUUAAAAUUUUAAAUAAGAUUACAACAUUUAUUUUAUCCUGAUAAAAGCUUUUCAAAGUAUAUAUUUAGGUAAUUUCGCCAUUUUAAGUAACAAUUAUAUAGUUUCGUAUUCGCAUAUAUAAAGUCGUAUAUGACUAAAUUAUAAAUAAAAUUGACUAAAGAUUCAACCCAGUUAGGUUAUUUCUAAUCUAAUUGAGGUUAUUUUCAAAAAUAAAUCCAAAACCCUCUUAACCCAAAUGACCACCAGCCCAUUUCAACAUUAGUGGCCCAACCCAGCCUUUCCCUUGACCCGCUCCAGCCCAACUCCCCUUAUCCCUUCCCCUGACCGGAUAAACAACAAAAAAACAACGAAUCAACUAACAAAAACCGACCAGCAAGAAGCAACAGUUAUCAUACAACGCACAACAAUAAUUUCAACGGCAAAACUGACAUCGGACAUCAACAACAAUUUGGAGGACAACAACUCAACAGCAACCCGAUUUUAACCCAACGACUCCGACAGAAAACAACAACUGCGUACCAAAAGAAACUCGGCUCGCCCCUGACCCGAUUUCAGUCAGCAAAUCCGACAUCAGCAAACCCCAAAACAUCCCAUUUGAAUUUCAAAAUUGUACGAUUCUGUAUAAUUCCAGCUUAUCUACCUUAUCCUCUUAUCUCAAAUUCAAAUCCCUCAGUAAAUUCCCAAAUUACCCUCAUAAUUCCUUGUUCCCACAUCAAUCGUUCUCAAUUUUUACAUUCCAAAAAUCCCUAUAAAUACUCCUUCAUUUCCAUUGUUAAAGGGGAGAGGUCAGAUAGUCGAGAACCCCGAAAAGCGUGGGAUUUUGCUAAGACCAAAGAUUUCGGUGCUAAGGAAUUUGAUAAGACUCAUUUGAGCUUGAAAUUCUAAGAUAUGGAAUCGAUUUUGUUUUCCGGUGGUGAGCUCAAAAUUCUAAACUAAGGAAUCGAGUUUGUUUUUCGAUGGUGAUUCCGACGAUGUCUCAUAGUCCGGUUUGCUGCCCUAAAAAAGGUAACAUAACUCUUUCAUUAAUAUGUUGGCUUUUCGUAUUCUUUUUCUUUUUUCUAGUAGCAAUUUUCGUUAAAAGUGAUGCUGGGACUAUCUGUUGCAGUGCCUUGAAGGCCAUUGGCUUUGUGACUGAUGUUCUUGUUAUUUUUUAUUUUGUUAUCUAGUUUUUCUUUCAUAAAAGAUCUGCUUUAACAUUAUUUGUUAGCUGUACGAUUUCCUUCUCUGGAUGUUGUUUGGUUCAAUUAAUGUUCAGUUUAAAUGAAUUUUUGUUUAGCUUUCUUCUGAGUUCAGGAUGUUAUAUGUGAUGUUGUUGAAAAAUAUUCAUCGCACCAUUUAAAUGUAAUAUUUCCAACUUUGAGUUCUCAUUUUUCGCUUAUCUCCAUACAUCUUCUUUUGAACUUGUACUUGCCGAUUUUAGUCCUAGAUUAGUUCAUCGUGGUUUUAGUUCUUUGUCUGGUUGUUGUUUCAAGUUGAUUCAUUCCUCUAUUAGUGGGUUUUGCAUCUAUGACACUUGAACCAAUGCCUAGUCUUUAUGGUGUCUUUCUCGUCAGAAUAUUCAAACUUUAGUCAAAUGAAAUUAGUCGAGCUGUUUCAAUUGCAUCGCUAGGAAUGGAAUGAUGAUUUACUUGUUGGUUUUUGAAGUUUUGUCAACUGUUGGCUGCUCCUCUCUGCUAAAAAUAUUUUCUGAAGCUUAAUCCCCUAUCUAGGUUCAAACCAAGUGCAUAAGACCUGAUGUUUUAGCAUUAGAAUUCUCUGUGACUUCCCAAAUAUUAUAGCAUAAGUCAUGCUCCUUCUAAUUUGAUUUGUUGUAUGUUACCUCCCUAAAGCUGGUGCAGCCAUAUACGUUCGCAUAAUUUUAAAUCAGGAAAGUAAAUGUUUUAAGUCAACUAUUAGUGUGGAUUAGUGAGCAGUGACUAAAUAUAUUUUCUCAUUACGUGCUUUAAAAAUGGAUCGAGCCGGCUACAGUUCGAAUCUAAAUUGAUAUGUAAAGGUUAGCCUGUUAACUUUUACAAUUGGCGACAGUCAAAUAUAAAGGUAUGAUUAUUUAUUUGACUUCGAAACCACCAUGCGACAGUUAUAAAAAGAUUGUUUUUAAUGACCUCAGAUAUAGCAUUAGAUGAACCAGAGAAUUGACAUUCUUUAGACAGCUAAAGUUUGUUACUUUUUUUUUUUCAUGUGAAAAGUAGCAUUAGUUAAUUAUUCCUAGUCAUAGUAUUGUAUUGUGGCUUCAAUUCGAAAUCAUGUUUUAUUUUGGUCGGGUUUCUGUAAUCUAUGUGCCUGCUAGAAUUGAUCUUCUUAGAUGAGAAUACACUUCAAAGAGGAAUUUUGGACAGAAUGUCAAAAUCAAUUAAUUGAAUGUGUUCUUUGUUAUAUUAUUCAUACAAUGUUAGAUCUCUGUUGCAUCACACACUAACCUUUAUCUCUUCUUUGCAAUGCAUGAACCACCCGAGUCCAUGGGACUCUCCCUCCUGCGUUUUUGGAGUUGAACCCUCUCUCUCUCAAGUCAAGCUUAAAUUAGUCCGAAGUGGACUGAUUAGAAGGAGAAUAACGCAGGUAUACACUGGUAUACAUUAAGUAUACAGUAGUAUACAAGUGAUAUGUGGAUCGGGAGAGCAAUAAUACAGGUAUUGCUGCAAAUAUAUGGAAAAUACAAAGAAGAAAGGUACUGAUAUACGCUGAAAUAUACUAAAAAUGCAGCAAAAAGAGGACCGGUAUACAAUCAGUAUACAAUUGAUAUACACAGCUGAAAAGGCUGAAAAUCCACAAAAAUGGGCCCAAAAAUCUGGGCAAAUGCUAAUGGACCUAUCUGAGGUCGAAAACUUAACUUCUCUUCUUUAGUUUAUUUAUACUAAAAAUUAAACAAAUACGCAACUUAUGUUUUCAAUAUUACAAAAAAUUUCAACUCCCAAAAUAUAUUACAAAAAUUCCAACAUAUACACAGAAUGCGAUGUAUAUGUCGGCUAUGUUAUGUAUAUUAAGAGGGAGAGAGAGUAAACUAAUUAAAAAAGUGGGACAGUGCAAUUACUUUCAGAAGAGUAAGUAUUUAUUUAUACUUUAUACUAAAAUUCAUAUUUGAUUACUUGUUUGUAAUGAACUCUCAAAUUUAGUUGUAUCGAAUUAAAUUCCCUUUUGAAUUGUCA